UACGGAGGUUGCAAGCGUUGUUCGGAAUCAUUGGGCGUAAAGCGCGUGUAGGCGGCUUGGCAAGUCGGGUGUGAAAUCCCGGGGCCCAACCCCGGAACUGCAUUCGAAACUGCCUCGCUAGAGUCCCGGAGAGGAAGGCGGAAUUCCCGGUGUAGAGGUGAAAUUCGUAGAUAUCGGGAGGAACACAAGCGGCGAAGGCGGCCUUCUGGACGGUGACUGACGCUGAGACGCGAAAGCGUGGGGAGCAAACAGG
rnacentral:rRNA from 1 species